rnacentral:rRNA from 1 species
AGUGAACGCUGGCGGCGUGCCUAAUACAUGCAAGUCGAACGGAGUGGCGCACGGGUGAGUAAUGUAUAGCUAAUCUGCCCUACACUAGAGGACAACAGUUGGAAACGACUGCUAAUACUCCAUAGUGUAGGAUGAGGCUAUAUUGUAUCAGCUAGUUGGUGAGGUAAUGGCUGACCAAGGCUAUGACGCAUAACUGGUCUGAGAGGAUGGUCAGUCACACGGGAACUGAGACACGGUCCAGACUCCUACGGGAGGCAGCAGUAGGGAAUAUUACUCGAUGGAGGAAACCCAGAAGCAGCAACAAAGCGUGGGGGAUGACACUUUUCGAAGCAUAAACUCCUUGUGUUAGGAAAGCGGUACCUAACGAAAAAGCACCGGCUAACUCCGUGCCAGCCGCCGCGGUAAUUC